AAAAUUUUAAUUUUAAAAAUUUUUGGAGCCGGUCGUCCCUUUAAAAUUUCGCCCAUGUUGAUAGCUUAUAUUAAUAUGCUUGUGAGUUAGCAUUAAGUUUUAAUUUAGCAAUAUUGAAGUUGUGAUGAGUUCGAGUUCUAAUGGAGUUCAGCCUAAGGAAAAAAAAUUGCAAGCUCUAUAAAAUGAUAAAUAACAAAUUUCUUUUGUUUGGGUGAAGUCUGGAUGUUGCAAGCCACCAA
rnacentral:misc_RNA from 1 species